AGGACGAGCGCUGGCGGCGUGCUUAACACAUGCAAGUCGAGCGGAAAGGCCCUUCGGGGUACUCGAGCGGCGAACGGGUGAGUAACACGUGAGUAAUCUGCCCCUAGCUCUGGGAUAGCUCCGGGAAACCGGGAUUAAUACCGGAUAUGACCACUUUAGACAUCUGUUGUGGUGGAAAGAAUUUCGGCUAGGGAUGAGCUCGCGGCCUAUCAGCUUGUUGGUGGGUAACGGCCUACCAAGGCGACGACGGGUA
rnacentral:rRNA from 1 species